rnacentral:rRNA from 1 species
CAGGGCGAAUGUCUUGUAAUUGGAAUGAUGGUGACCCAAACCCUCACCAGAGUAGCAAUUGGAGGGCAAGUCUGGUGCCAGCAGCCGCGGUAAUUCCAGCUCCAAUAGCGUAUAUUAAACUUGUUGCAGUUAAAAAGCUCGUAGUUGUAUUUUUGCGUUGACGGUUUGACCAUUUGGUUGGUUAUUUCGUUUUCGCUUUUGGGAAUUUCCCUUUUUACUUUGAGAAAAUUAGAGUGUUUCAAGCAGACUUUUGUCUUGAAUACUUCAGCAUGGAAUAAUAGAGUAGGACUUUGGUUCUAUUUUGUUGGUUAUUGAACCUUAGUAAUGGUUAAUAGGAACGGUUGGGGGCAUUCGUAUUUAACUGUCAGAGGUGAAAUUCUUAGAUUUGUUAAAGACGAACUACUGCGAAAGCAUUUGCCAAGGACGUUUCCAUUAAUCAAGAACGAAAGUUAGGGGAUCGAAGA